rnacentral:misc_RNA from 1 species
GCCAACGAUUUGAAUUGACAGAAUCACAAAUAUCAAUAUUCAUAGUCCAAUCAGGGCCGAUUAGAAGAUCACUGGUCGCCUUCUCCACUGCAACAGUAGCAGAAGAAGAUGAAGCCACAGACAUAGCCAUAGCCAUCUCUAUCUCUGCCAAAAAAAAAAAAAAAAACCGACCCUUCUUGCGAAAUUUGAAGGCAACUGUGGGACGAAAAAAGAAGAAGAUAAACACCGAGUCCAAGUCUAUCUUGUAUUCAAUUUCCAGCAAACCACAUGGUCAUUUUAAUGCUCUAUUCGCGUAUCUUUCCAGGUGGUUUCUUUCCAGCUACGAUUAUUUUUCCCUUCUUUUUAAUCUUAAUCUUUC